GAUGAACGCUGGCGGCGUGCCUAAUACAUGCAAGUCGAGCGAACGGACGAGAAGCUUUCUUCUCUGAUGUUAGCGGCGGACGGGUGAGUAACACGUGGAUAACCUACCUAUAAUACUGGGAUAACUUCGGGAAACCGGUGCUAAUACCGGAUAAUAUUUUGAACCGCAUGGUUCAAAAGUGAAAGACGGUCUUGCUGUCACUUAUAGAUGGAUCCGCGCUGCAUUAGCUAGUUGGUAAGGUAACGGCUUACCAAGGCAACGAUGCAUAGCCGACCUGAGAGGGUGAUCGGCCACACUGGAACUGAGACACGGUCCAGACUCCUACGGGAGGCAGCAGUAGGGAAUCUUCCGCAAUGGGCGAAAGCCUGACGGAGCAACGCCGCGUGAGUGAUGAAGGUCUUCGGAUCGUAAAACUCUGUUAUUAGGGAAGAACAUAUGUGUAAGUAACUGUGCACAUCUUGACGGUACCUAAUCAGAAAGCCACGGCUAACUACGUG
rnacentral:rRNA from 1 species